rnacentral:lncRNA from 1 species
UCUGGCGGGGAGCCCAGUGUGAGGUGGAGCUUCAGGAGCCAGAGGAGUUCAGAGUGAGGUAGAGCUCUAGGUGGAGGUGGAUCAGGCAUGAGAUGCCAGACUUGAAAGGAUGAGAGGCGAUAUCGCAGGAUGAGAUUCUUAUUGCCGCUGGAUGAUACCCCAAGCAAGUUUUUGGUCAGAAUGGACACAGCCCAUGAUGGAGGUAGGAUUUAGUGGCUUGGCUCGACUCCAACAUUUGCCCAUCCAUGAGAUAACAGGCAUGCCCCAAGGUA